UUUCAACUUAGGGGUGCCUGCCUGCCUGCCCUUCAUUUCAGGAUUCUGUAAACAACUGUCCUCAUCCUGGCUAUCCUUUCGUUGGUUUUUUCUGGGAGACAUGGGGGAGAAGGUAGAGACAAAGGUUUACAGAGUAAGGAAGAGAAACAAGGAACUAGAGAAAGGAAGCAGGAAGGUUUGUACAGUUUCAAUUUGUUAGGUCUUGCUAGUUUUGGUGAUGGAUAGCUUGCUCGAAGCCGCUUCAAGCAGUACUACUUGGGGGAACCUUUCCAGUAUCAACACACCCAACUCUCAUAUAAGGCGUUGCAAUUGAUAGAAUCAAAGGCUGGACAUGGAUCAAAUUGCUAGCCCAAGCAGUAGACGAGGUAUGAAUUGAGGCUUUUCUUUGAUACACCUA